UUAGCUGGGAUCAUGUUGUUUCUGCCAUGUCUUCUCCUUUUAGCAGCUUCAUUGUCAGCUGUUCUAUCUCAAAUCCACUUCAUUCAGUCUAGUCCUGAAGUUAAAAAGCCUGGAGAGUCAGUAAAAUUUACUUGUAAAGCAUCCGGAUACACGUUUACAGACUACAGUAUGAGCUGGAUCAGACAGGCACCAGGGAAAGGACUAGAAUGGGUUGCUACUAUUAGAACAGAUAAUUUUAAUACUUUCUAUCUAAAGACUCUUGAAGGCCGAGUCACUAUCUCUGUGAACACUUCAGUCAGCACUUCAUAUCUGCUGCUGACAAAUUUGAAAGCUGAAGACACUGCCGUAUAUUACUGUGCAAGGCGCACACUGUCGGCUGUCACCACCCCCAGCUUCUUCAAGGGCAAACUACUUUUAUAUUCCAGCACUCAGUCGUGUUUAUGUUUACAUGAGGAUGGCUAA